rnacentral:rRNA from 1 species
UACGUAGGGGGGCAAGCGUUGUCCGGAAUCAUUGGGCGUAAAGAGCUCGUAGGCGGUCUGUCGCGUCUGCUGUGAAAACUCAGGGCUUAACCCUGAGCUUGCAGUGGGUACGGGCAGACUAGAGUGCGGUAGGGGAGACUGGAAUUCCUGGUGUAGCGGUGAAAUGCGCAGAUAUCAGGAGGAACACCGGUGGCGAAGGCGGGGUCUCUGGGCCGUAACUGACGGCUGGAGGAGCGAAAGCAUGGGGAGCGAACAGG